UACGUAGGGUGCAAGCGUUGUCCGGAAUUAUUGGGCGUAAAGAGCUCGUAGGCGGUUUGUCGCGUCUGCUGUGAAAACCCGAGGCUCAACCUCGGGCCUGCAGUGGGUACGGGCGAGACUAGAGUGGCGGUAGGGGAGAUUGGAAUUGCCUGGUGUAGCGGUGGAAUGCGCAGAUAUCAGGAGGACACAAUGGCGAAGGCAGAUCUCUGGGCCGUAACUGACGCUGAGGAGCGAAAGCGUGGGGAGCGAACAGG
rnacentral:rRNA from 1 species